rnacentral:rRNA from 1 species
UGGGGAAUUUUGGACAAUGGGCGAAAGCCUGAUCCAGCAAUGCCGCGUGUGUGAAGAAGGCCUUCGGGUUGUAAAGCACUUUUGUCCGGAAAGAAAUCCUUGGGCUCUAAUACAGUCGGGGGAUGACGGUACCGGAAGAAUAAGCACCGGCUAACUACGUGCCAGCAGCCGCGGUAAUACGUAGGGUGCAAGCGUUAAUCGGAAUUACUGGGCGUAAAGCGUGCGCAGGCGGUUUGCUAAGACCGAUGUGAAAUCCCCGGGCUCAACCUGGGAACUGCAUUGGUGACUGGCAGGCUAGAGUAUGGCAGAGGGGGGUAGAAUUCCACGUGUAGCAGUGAAAUGCGUAGAGAUGUGGAGGAAUACCGAUGGCGAAGGCAGCCCCCUGGGCCAAUACUGACGCUCAUGCACGAAAGCGUGGGGAGCAAACAGGAUUAGAUACCCUGGUAGUCCACGCCCUAAACGAUGUCAACUAGUUGUUGGGAUUCAUUCCUUAGUAACGUAGCUAACGCGUGAAGUUGACCGCCUGGGGAGUACGGUCG